UACGGAGGGAGCUAGCGUUGUUCGGAAUUACUGGGCGUAAAGCGUGCGUAGGCGGCUAUUCAAGUCAGAGGUGAAAGCCUGGAGCUCAACUCCAGAACUGCCUUUGAAACUAGAUAGCUAGAAUGUCGGAGAGGUGAGUGGAAUUCCGAGUGUAGAGGUGAAAUUCGUAGAUAUUCGGAAGAACACCAGUGGCGAAGGCGGCUCACUGGACGACUAUUGACGCUGAGGCACGAAAGCGUGGGGAGCAAACAGGAUUAGAACCUCGUAGU
rnacentral:rRNA from 1 species